UUUAUUGACCAAAUGACCCAUGCAACUGCUUUUCUGAUUGUGAUCUCUCCCAUUCCUCAUUCAGAACAUAGUUUGGGAAAUGAAUCACCUGAGAUUCCUAUCUCCUUUUGUGAAGGUCUCUGUGUUGGGACAAUGCCAAACUAGAAAGUGAUGAGAGUGGCAGCUGGAGGUGGGAGAAUGUUCCUUGCAUAAUGAAAGUGACUCUUAUGGAUCCAGCAGAGACUCCAGGUCAACAGAGGAAACGUCCGUGCCUAUCUUCAGAGGUGAACGUGGGACAGAUUCUUUCUUUACAAGCACUGUCCAGAGCUGAGUGGGUGAGUAUAGGUGCCCAUCAAGAGGUUAGGUGUCAGCUAUUCCAACCAAAAUGUCAGGAUUCCACUGGCAGGGAAAGGGGCUCUGUGAAUGUCCUCAACGUUAGCCCUGUGAUGAAUGUUUCAAAAAGCCAGUAUAGCAGAUUGCAUAACAAGGAACCCCUCAGACCGUGAAAUUACACAGCACCUUUGGGCUGGUAAUGUCGGUCCUUUGUUUAUAGGUCGGUGUUCCGUUAGGGAGGACCCUGACUUGGUAGCUGAUGGGUAAGCCAGCAACUGUGACGUAGAGGAAGUUUCCGCAGGAAUACGUAUCCUCUCUGACCUUGAUGUAAGUUACAUCUGUCACAGAACACACAGCCGAGCUCUCGUCUUGCUUGUCUGUGUGCAGACUUGUUCUAUGAACUGCCCAUCAGAUAUCUUUCCAUUCUCUUCCUCGAAUAUUGAGUGACCUUGGAAAUAGCCUAAUCUAUCUUGGCCGAUUGAAGAUAGAGAAAACAAGCAGGGGAAACAGACCUGCUGGUUCCUGCUAUUGAUCAGUGGCUUGAAUGAAAGCUCAUUAUGAGCUGGAGAGAUGUGUCAGACACAG
rnacentral:lncRNA from 1 species